rnacentral:rRNA from 1 species
GAUGAACGCUAGCGGCAGGCUUAACACAUGCAAGUCGAGGGGUAUAGCACUUCGGUGCUAGAGACCGGCGCACGGGUGCGUAACGCGUAUGCAGUCUACCUUUUACAGAGGGAUAGCCCAGAGAAAUUUGGAUUAAUACCUCAUAGUAUUAUGAAAUGGCAUCAUUUUAUAAUUAAAGUCACAACGGUAAAAGAUGAGCA